AUGGAAAAAGUGAUGAGGUUGGCUAUAAAAAAGAGUGUGGUGAUUUUCACAAAGAGCUCUUGUUGCAUGUGCGACGCAGUGAACAUCUUGUUUCAAGAAAUUGGAGUGUUCUCUGGGAUUCAUGAAAUUGACAAAGGUCCUGAAGGCAAAGAAAUGGAGAAAGCUUUAAAAAAGUUGGGUUGUAAUGCACCUGUCCUUGCAGUAUUUGUCGGAGGAAAGCUUAUGGGGUCUAUCAAUGAAGUAAUGUGA